UACAAUAUAUGGUGGCAGCGGUGGGCGG
rnacentral:piRNA from 1 species